ensembl:lncRNA novel transcript, antisense to CD36
UACUGGAAAAAUCACCCAGGAGGCAGCGUGGACAAUGGAUUGGAGAAGGGCGAACAUUCAGUCAGAGACUUUGCUUACUGUAAAUUAGAGGGAGCAAAUUGGAGGAGAAAUGACAAAAGAAACAGAAAAAAUGUUUAAUCAGACAAAGGAACUAAAAAACCUCAGUCUUAAUUAGAAGAUGGUCAAACAAAUCUCUUAACUGAUGUUCACAAUGAUGGUUUCAAGUCAUCUAAGGAAUGGCUGGCUCUUGGAUGGAUGUUUGGCUGAAACAUUUUACCAUCCUGGACACCAUGCUUACUUUAAAUGAUUCCAGGAAUUUGCAGAAUGUGGAGAUAACAUCUGUUACCAAGGUCAAGUUUUUAGAUGGCUUCCGUGAGUUCACAGGCUCACUAG